CCCAGACUCCUAGGGAGGCAGCAGUGGGGAAUAUUGGGCAAUGGGCGCAAGCCUGACCCAGCAACGCCGCGUGAAGGAAGAAGGCUUUCGGGUUGUAAACUUCUUUUAAGAGGGAAGAGAAGAAGACGGUACCUCUUGAAUAAGCCACGGCUAACUACGUGCCAGCAGCCGCGGUAAUACGUAGGUGGCAAGCGUUGUCCGGAUUUACUGGGUGUAAAGGGCGUGCAGCCGGGCUGACAAGUCAGAUGUGAAAUCCCGCGGCUCAACCGCGGAACUGCAUUUGAAACUGUAGUUCUUGAGUACUGGAGAGGCAGACGGAAUUCCUAGUGUAGCGGUGAAAUGCGUAGAUAUUAGGAGGAACACCAGUGGCGAAGGCGGUCUGCUGGACAGCAACUGACGCUGAGGCGCGAAAGCGUGGGGAGCAAACAGGAUUAGAUACCCGUGUA
rnacentral:rRNA from 1 species